rnacentral:lncRNA from 1 species
CAGAAAACUCCAGAAAGAUGAGCUCUGGUAGCACAGCUCCAGGGUACAACAGCAAUAGAAAGCAGAGAUUGCUGGAAUUUGCUUUAAGUAAUCAAUUUGGAAAACAUCUGUGAUUUUAACAGCUGGUUCAAUCAAGCAGGACUACACAAGCACAGCAUGGUGCAAGGGGAAUGAUUUUAACUUUUUCUCUGUAAUGUGUGGAAGGCAUCAGUCAAAGCAGCACUACGAUGAAAUUCACCUGUGUGGUUGGGACCGGGUCCCACUAUGGCUUCUGCAUAUCAUGUCUGGAGAGAGUCUGAUGCCUCUGCUCCUCCAUCCUUUCUCAUCUGGGUGCUUGUGUGGGACCUUGGUGACAGCAGACAGAAUUGGAGUACAUUCCAGACUUGUGAAUGGGAUUCCCUACAGCAGGCGUGGGAGGGAGUUAGGCAUCUUUCUUGUCUUCCGCAGGCAGUGGCUCUGGAAUAUUUUCCUGCAUGACAGUGCUGCUUCAGCAGAAGAGAGAGGAAUAAUAUACAAUAUAUAAUCAACCUGAGUGACUGGAAGUGCUGGAGUCAGGAUCCGCCCCAUCGCAGGCUUCACUUAAGGGUUUGGCAGUGGAGGUAAAACUAUUUCAUCUUGACAUGUCUACCUGCCUAAAGACCUUGUGAGGCCUUCUGAAGGUAAGUGCUUUCUUUCCCUUAUUUCUGUGCCUAUUGCUGUCAUGUUUGAGUGGAUCUUUGCUUGCUGUAGCUUGGGAUCUUGUUGCUCUGCUAUUUUGUAAUGCAUUCUAUUGUAUUACAGGAGCAAAACCAGUAUUUCCUUUUCCUGUCUUUGGACAAAGUAGUCAUGUUAACUGGAAGAGGG